UAGCGAGACUGCCGGGUAAUAAACCGGAGGAAGGUGGGGAUGACGUCAAAUCAUCAUGCCCCUUAUGACCUGGGCUACACACGUGCUACAAUGGUUGGUACAACGAGUUGCGAGUCGGUGACGGCGAGCUAAUCUCUUAAAGCCAAUCUCAGUUCGGAUUGUAGGCUGCAACUCGCCUACAUGAAGUCGGAAUCGCUAGUAAUCGCGGAUCAGCACGCCGCGGUGAAUACGUUCCCGGGCCUU
rnacentral:rRNA from 1 species